ACUGCUGUCUGCUCAAAUGUCAUGGCGUUGGCUUUCUGCCCCAUUUUCAGCUGCAGAGAACAGCAGACGGGAGGGGCAGAAACAAUGAAGAUCCCUUUUUAAGUCUCAGAUUAAAAAAUCUCCUACUUUUUACAGCCAAAAAAAGUUCUUCUCGUGACUGUCACAAAUGGCAUUUCCUAGACCUGCUUUGGAAAUUACCCAGCAUAAUUCCCCAAGGAUGUUACAGUGUGUGCCACAGGGAACAAACCAGGACCAGUUCACUGAGCACAGCCAGCAGCAAGUGGCACUGGUAGAUGCGGCUGAAUGCAGUAAGCUGUUCUUCACCUGUGAAGAACUGUGGGGGAGAAAGGCAUGGAGUGGAGGAACCAUUUUGCCAAGGGACAAGGGGCAGAGCCAAGAUCAGGAGCCAGGUUGCCUGCCCACAUGCUUCUCCCUGCCCCUGCCGCUGAGCAAAUUGCCCACCACCAACACUUUGCAGACUGCAGAACUAAUGAGCAAACAAAGGAGUGGAAUUAAAUAUUAGUGAAGAGAAAAUGGCCAGUAUGAGGCUCAAAAAAAAAAUGCAAAAAAG
rnacentral:lncRNA from 1 species